GCUCUCGCAUCGAUGAAGAACGCAGCGAAAUGCGAUAAGUAAUGUGAAUUGCAGAAUUCAGUGAAUCAUCGAAUCUUUGAACGCACCUUGCGCCCUCUGGUAUUCCGGAGGGCAUGCCUGUUUGAGUGUCAUGUAGACUCAAUCCCUCGGGUUUCCGAGGAGAUUGGACUUGGGUGUUGCCGCUCUGCCGGCUCGCCUUAAAAGACUUAGCGGGAUAGCACCGUAGUCGGCGUAAUAAGUUUCGUCGGUGAAGGUUGUGAUGACUGCUUACAAUCGCCCUCGGGCAAUUUUUGACUCUGACCUCAAAUCAGGUAGGACUACCCGCUGAACUUAAGCAUAUCAAUAAGCGGAGGAAAAGAAACUAACAAGGAUUCCCCUAGUAGCGGCGAGCGAAGCGGGAAGAGCUCAAAUUUGAAAGCUGGCGUCCUUCGGGCGUCCGCAUUGUAAUCUAUAGAGGCGUUUUCUGUGCUGGACCGUGUCCAAGUCCCUUGGAACAGGGUAUCAAAGAGGGUGACAAUCCCGUACUUGACACGACAACCAGUGCUCUGUGAUACGUCUUCUACGAGUCGAGUUGUUUGGGAAUGCAGCUCAAAAUGGGUGGUGAAUUCCAUCUAAAGCUAAAUAUUGGCGAGAGACCGAUAGCGAACAAGUACCGUGAGGGAAAGAUGAAAAGCACUUUGGAAAGAGAGUUAAACAGUAUGUGAAAUUGUUGAAAGGGAAACGAUGGAGGUCAGUCGUGUCUGUGGGAUUCAGCCGUCUCUGGCGGUGUACUUCCCACAGACGGGUCAACAUCAGUUUUGGUCGGCGGAUAAAGGCAGGAGGAAGGUGGCACCCCCCGGGUGUGUUAUAGCCGUCUUGUUGCAUACGCUGGCCGAGACUGAGGAAUGCAGCGCGCCUUUAUGGCCGGGUGCGCCCACGUUCGAGCUGUAGGAUGUUGACAUAAUGCCUUAAAG
rnacentral:rRNA from 1 species